UACAGAGGUCCCAAGCGUUGUUCGGAUUCACUGGGCGUAAAGGGUGCGUAGGUGGCAGUGUAAGUCGGGUGUGAAAUCCCCAGGCUUAACCUGGGAACUGCAUUCGAGACUGCAUUGCUAGAGUAUGGGAGAGGGAAGUGGAAUUUCCGGUGUAGCGGUGAAAUGCGUAGAUAUCGGAAGGAACAUCAGUGGCGAAAGCGACUUCCUGGACCAAUACUGACGCUCAUGUGCGAAAGCGUGGGGAGCAAACAGG
rnacentral:rRNA from 1 species